GAACACUAUAUAUGUAUGGCGAAUUGACAAUAAACCAAACAUCACAUACUGUUUACAAAUAAAGUAAACAAAGAGAGAAAUACAUUAUAAGAUCAUCUAAAGCCAAACAAAAAUGAUUUCAAAGACAACUUUCAUAUACCUAUUCAUGUUCUCCCUUUAUGCUUUGCAUCAAUUUACACAAUUGGAUGCUGGAGAAAUAGAGAGUUCGAGCAAGAUAAUUCUUCCUCCAAAAUGUGUCCCUUACAUUUGUUAUGGAGUGAAUUGUUGGUGCUGUAAGAGGGAUCCAGUGGGCGAUGGUCAAUGUUUCAAAACCCUAGAAGAAUGCAAGUCCAAUCGCAAAUGUCCUUGGCUGUAACUGGUUGUUAUUAAAUGGAAUGUACGGGAUGAAAGGAAUUAAAAAUUUUGGAAUACUAAAAAUGGAAUGACAGACAAAAUAGAAUAAAAACUAAAACUAGUUAAUUCCA